rnacentral:rRNA from 1 species
CACGUAGGGGGCAAGCGUUGUCCGGAAUCAUUGGGCGUAAAGAGCGUGUAGGCGGUUCGGUAAGUCGGCUGUGAAAGUCCAGGGCUCAACCCUGGGAUGCCGGUCGAUACUGCCGGACUAGAGUUCGGAAGAGGCGAGUGGAAUUCCCGGUGUAGCGGUGAAAUGCGCAGAUAUCGGGAGGAACACCUAUGGCGAAGGCAGCUCGCUGGGACGUUACUGACGCUGAGACGCGAAAGCGUGGGGAGCGAACAGG